rnacentral:lncRNA from 1 species
CUGAAUUCCAGCCUGGUGACAGAGUGAGACUCCAUCUCAAAGAAAUAAAAGAAGAAAGAAAAACCUGCAAAACAUUAAGAAGGAAGUGAUCAUUAAUACUGAGACAAAUUGCUUUCUUCUAUAUUAAGUUUUUAAAAGUCUGAUGUGCUGAUCCACAUGUUUCAAGAUAGUCAUAUUUUAGAGGUCGGCCUGGCUGAAAGAAGAGCAUUGAGAAGUGGGUCCAGGGAGGUGCUACUGCUCUGAGAACUCAAGAAUCGUGCAGAGUCCCUGUGUGAUGGCUCCCCAGCACUUGGGCUCCCCAUUACUUGCAACGAACCUGCUCAUCUCUUCAGAGGAUUUCUGCUGGGCCUUGUCACUCUCCUUGACCUCAGCUCAUAGCAGAAGGUCACGUGCUUGGAGCAGAGCAGAGGACAUUUCCCACUUCUAUACUCCAGAUGGUUUUGGCCUUGCUGGAAGCGGUCACAAAGUGGCUUUGGAAUUCACUCAUACAACAUGACGGCACUUUGCACAGGUGGAGAAUGGUAAGUAUAUUGCAGCUGAACUGGAACUGGAGUCAAACCCCUAAUGUCUUGUCACAACUUUAUCUGGUCUUGCAUUUUGG